rnacentral:rRNA from 1 species
GGUAGGUGGCAAGCGUUGUCCGGAAUUAUUGGGCGUAAAGCGCGCGCAGGUGGGUUCUUUAAGUCUGAUGUGAAAGCCCCCGGGCUCAACCGGGGAGGGUCAUUGGAAACUGGGGAACUUGAGUGCAGGAGAGGAAAGUGGAAUUCCACGUGUAGCGGUGAAAUGCGUAGAUAUGUGGAGGAACACCAGUGGCGAAGGCGACUUUCUGGCCUGUAACUGACACUGAGGCGCGAAAGCGUGGGGAGCAAACAGGAUUAGAUACCCUGGUAGUCCACGCCGUAAACGAUGAGUGCUAAGUGUUGGGGGGUUUCCGCCCCUCAGUGCUGCAGCUAACGCAUUAAGCACUCCGCCUGGGGAGUACGGUCGCAAGACUG